rnacentral:siRNA from 1 species
UGUGUUUCCUUGCGGUGUUCA